rnacentral:rRNA from 1 species
GACGAACGCUGGCGGCGUGCUUAACACAUGCAAGUCGAGCGGUAAGGCCCUUUCGGGGGUACGACGAGCGGCGAACGGGUGAGUAACACGUGGGUGACCUGCCCUUACGCUCUGGGAUAAGCCUGGGAAACUGGGUCUAAUACCGGAUAUGACUCCAUGACGCAUGUUGUGGGGUGGAAAGCCUUGUGCGGCUAGGGAUGGGCCCGCGGCCUAUCAGCUUGUUGGUGGGGUGAUGGCCUACCAAGGCGACGACGGGUAGCCGGCCUGAGAGGGCGACCGGCCACACUGGGACUGAGACACGGCCCACGACUCCUACGGGAGGCAGCAGUGGGGAAUCUUGCGCAAUGGGCGAAAGCCUGACGCAGCGACGCCGCGUGGGGAUGACGGCC